rnacentral:rRNA from 1 species
UACGAAGGGGGCUAGCGUUGCUCGGAAUGACUGGGCGUAAAGGGCGCGUAGGCGGUUUGACAAGUCUGAUGUGAAAUCUCUGGGCUCAACCCAGAGUCUGCAUUAGAAACUGUCGGGCUUGAGUAUGGGAGAGGUGAGUGGAAUUUCCGGUGUAGCGGUGAAAUGCGUAGAUAUCGGAAGGAACACCUGUGGCGAAAGCGGCUCACUGGACCAUAACUGACGCUGAGGCGCGAAAGCUAGGGGAGCAAACAGG